ACGGUAAAAAAAUAUCUUGCCCGACCUCAGAACCCCGACCUCAGAACGCGUCUUCUUCGUCGGUCUCCAUGGGUCCCUCCGCUCCUCUCGCCGCCACCUCGGAGCGCCGCGUCGUGCCUCCCCACCCUCCCCUUCCUUUCCCUCUUCCUCUCCCUCUCCUUCUCUCACGACGCGACGGCUCACUGGGCAGGCUCGAGUGUGGCCGGCUUUCGACGAGACGAUGCGAUGGCCACCGGCAUGGGCGGCGCGACGCGCAGGCGCGGGCUCCCCCGCAGCGGUGCGUCGACGUGGACGGCCGGCAAAUGCCGCGGCAGCAUCGCCGACCUAGGGUUUCGUCCUCAGGUCAUCCCUCAUCCUCCCCUCUCUCCUGCGGCUCAAAAGCCUAGCCACCAGGUACGGAUGACUAUGGCUACUUCUCCUUCCCUAUUUGUGCUUGAACUUUAUUGUUUAAUUUUCUACAGUCAAAGAUUUAAAAUUUCCUUGGCCGUUUGAUUCCGCGAUAAACGCUCUAGAAUCAGGCCCCCGGAUACAUACAAUGCACGGUAAAAAAAUAUCUUGCCCGACCUCAGAACCCCGACCUCAGAACGUGUCUUCUUCGUCGGUCUCCAUGGGUCCCUCCGCUCCUCUCGCCGCCACCUCGGAGCGCCGCGUCGUGCCUCCCCACCCUCCCCUUCCUUUCCCUCUUCCUCUCCCUCUCCUUCUCUCACGACGCGACGGCUCACUGGGCAGGCUCGAGUGUGGCCGGCUUUCGACGAGACGAUGCGAUGGCCACCGGCAUGGGCGGCGCGACGCGCAGGCGCGGGCUCCCCCGCA
rnacentral:lncRNA from 1 species